rnacentral:lncRNA from 1 species
CAUGCCUUUUAUGCUAAAUCUUCUCAGACUGAAAUAUUAAAAGUGCGAAACAGUAACAGAAGAUCGGCCCACCCAAGAGGCCGCGUUUGUACCAGAAAGCUCUUCUCCGUGCAUAGCGUUCGCCGCCAGCGUUUCCCGGUAAAC